UUAACGUGAAUUGUUUAUAUAUGC
rnacentral:siRNA from 1 species